rnacentral:tRNA from 1 species
CCAUCGGUGAUUCAGUGAUAGAAUGCUCGCCUGCCACGCGGGCGGCCCUGGUUCGAUUCCCGGCCGAUGCA